rnacentral:rRNA from 1 species
UACGUAGGGGGCUAGCGUUGUCCGGAAUCAUUGGGCGUAAAGCGCGUGUAGGCGGUUCGGCAAGUCCGUUGUGAAAGUCGGGGGCUCAACCCUCGGAUGCCGGUGGAUACUGUCGAGCUUGAGUACGGAAGAGGCGAGUGGAAUUCCUGGUGUAGCGGUGAAAUGCGCAGAUAUCAGGAGGAACACCAAUUGCGAAGGCAGCUCGCUGGGACGUUACUGACGCUGAGACGCGAAAGCGUGGGGAGCAAACAGG